rnacentral:rRNA from 1 species
AUUGAGCGCGAGCGGGAUGCUUUACCCAUGCAAGUCGAACGAGUGGCGGACGGGUGAGUGAUGUAUCGGAACGUGCCGCAUAGCGGGAGAUAACUACUCGAAAGAUUGGCUAAUACCGCAUUCUAUGGGUGCGGCCGAUAUCGGAUUAGCUUGUUGGUGGGGUAAAGGCUCACCAAGGCAACGAGCCGUAGCUGGUUUGAGAGGACGACCAGCCACACUGGGACUGAGACACGGCCCAUACGCCGACGGGAGGCAGCAGUGGGGAAUGUUGGACAAUGGGGGAAACCCUGAUCCAGCCAUCCCGCGUGUAUGAGAAGGCCUUCGGGUUGUAAAGGACUUUUGGCAGAGAAGCGGUAUCUGCAGAAUAAGCACCGGCUAACUACGUGCCAGCCGCCGCGGUAAUUC